rnacentral:rRNA from 1 species
UACGGAGGGUGCAAGCGUUGUCCGGAUUUAUUGGGUUUAAAGGGUGCGUAGGCGGACUUUUAAGUCAGUGGUGAAAUCCUGCAGCUUAACUGUAGAACUGCCAUUGAUACUGGAAGUCUUGAGUACACUAGAAGUAGGCGGAAUUUAUGGUGUAGCGGUGAAAUGCAUAGAUACCAUAAAGAACACCGAUAGCGUAGGCAGCUUACUGGAGUGUAACUGACGCUGAGGCACGAAAGCAUGGGGAGCGAACAGG